UCUGCAUUCUGAAUAUGCUUUCACAUUUGCACCUCAUUUUUAUUUAAUCAUUUUGUAUUCUUUUCCUUAAAGGGCACCUCCAGUUUGUAGCAACUUGAGUCCUACGAAGCCUGGGCGUGGCUGAGGGUGGGCCCUCAGUUCAGCCACCAGUGUCCCUCUAAGAAGAGGGGAACUGGGCGCAGACAUGAGGGAGAAGGCCGUGUGAAGGCGGAGGCGGGGACCAGGUGACACAUCUCCAAGCCGACGAGGGCCAAGGAUUGCCAGCAAAUACCAGAAGCUGGGAGAGGCCUGGAUUCGCCCUCAGAGCCACCAGAACCAACCCUGCGCAGCCGCCUGGAUUUCUGGCCUCCGGAACUGAGCGAGCUGGCCUGGAUUGCUCACCGUCUCUUAGACGGUGUGUCAAGAGGAGACCAACAUGUUGCCUCACAAAGUCCUUAGGAGCCCUGCGCAGAGCCUCGUGAGUCACUCCAGGGUUUUGGGAGAUGAAUGGCCGGUGAGCCGGCUUCUCAGGAAGAUUAGCCACAAGUCGUGGCUGCGCUUGCCGGGCCGGCCGGUGCAGAACUGACUCACGUGGGCCAGGAAGCAGGCAGAGAGCCUGACAACAGCUCGGAAGGCCCCGGGCCCGCUGUCUUCCCAUGUGCGGGGCGGGGGGCGGGGGAGGGGGUGCGUCUCCCCAUUUGGUCAUUUCUGUUUGUUGUUGAAUAAGGUGGACACUAUUUAAAUGGGGACAUGUUAUACAUAGGUAUAUAUCAGUGCAUAUGCUCAUCUCUCUGUCCCUUUCCCCCUCUCUAUAUACGUACACACACACACACACACACACACACACACACACACACACACAGAGUAUGUAGCUAUACGUUGCAUACCCUAUAGAUACAGUAUAAUGAGUGGGAAGAAACUGAUGGUUUUCAGAUUUUUAACGCCGGAGAGACUUCUUUAUGGUGAAAUAUCGGCAUACGUAGAAGAAUGUGCAAAGAACCAAAAAAGCAGGGCUCCGUGAAGGAUCCCAAAGUCAGGUAAAUAUGCUCACACUCCCUGGCUGGGCACUCCCGUUCCUGGAAACUGUCCUCCAGAAAUGCUAUCCAGAGUGCUUUAAGAUGAAUGGACCAGAAUGUUCGUUCCAGUGCUGAGUGGAAGCACACAGCACUGCAAGUCGUCUCAACGUCUAUGGGUAAGAGAACAGUGGCACAUGCGUUCGGUAGAAUAUUCCGCAGCCAUUACAGAUCUGACAAAAAGACGUGCAGGGAAUAUAGUUAAUGGGAAAGCCAGUUGUGGUACGUGAUUCAUGCCCCACAACCAGGGAGGACACAUGUUGGCUGUGUUCACUUUGCCUUCAGAAAGUAGGGUUGGCAGGUGGGGGACCUCCCACUGCUUCCUCUAUGGGGUCUGUGUUGUUCCAACUGUCUGGUAAGCCUGAAGUUGCUUUUGUAAUUAAAAAAAUAGUAAUAAUAUAUUUAAAAAUGUUUUUAUUUAUUUUUGAGAGAGAGAGAGACAGCACAAUCUUGGGAGGGACAGAGACAAGAGGGGGACAGAGGAUCUGAAAGGGUCUCUGAGCUGUCAACACAGAGCUCAACACAGGACUUGAACUCACAAACCAUGAGAUUGGGACCUGAGCCGAAGUCAGAGGCUCAACCGGCUGAAGGCAACCAGGUACCCCCCCCAAUAAUACAUUUUUAAAUGAAGACAUAAAACUAUCAAAACUCGUAGAAUGUACACCAAGUGUGAACCCUAAUGUAAACUAUGGACCGUAGUUAAUAAUAACAUAUCAAAAUUGAUUCAUCAAUUGCAACAAAGAGACCUCACUAAUGAAGAUGUUAGUAAUGGGGGACACUGUGCCCCUGGGUAUAUAGGAAUUCUAUACAUCUAUGUGAUUUCUCUGUAAACCUAAAACUUCUAAAAUAUAGUUUCUUGGGGCCCCUGGGUGGCUCAGUCAGCUGAGUGUCCGACUUCAGCUCAGGUCCUGAUCUCGCGGUUGUGGGUUAGAGCCCCACGUCGGGCUCUGCGCUGACAGCUCAGAGCCUGGAGCCUGCUUCGGAUUCUGUGUCCCCCUCUCUCUCCCUGCCUCUCCCCCACUUGUUCUCUGUCUCUCUCUCAAAAGUAAAUAAAAU